rnacentral:lncRNA from 1 species
AUGCAAAGAGAAUCCCUGGUAGAUGCAUUUUUCACUUCCAUGGGUCACAGUGGGUCCUGGGACAUAACCAAAAAACACAUUGUGGCCUCCAUCCGGAGAUGGGGGUGGCGGAGAGAAGCUGGCCCAGAUACACCGGUUGGAAGGCUGUUGCAGGAAUUCAGAUUACAACAAUCCAUUUUAACUACUAUGAAAUGGUUCUGGAAUGACACUGUUGUGAAGAGGAAAUUCCAGCGGAGCUACUGGAGCAAGCCUUUGAUCUGCCAUAUUGAGCUCCUCCAGCCAUGCAGAUUCGCUGCACUAUAAGAAAAACAUUUCUAUGACCACUUUAAAGCUAAAUUCAUUUCAGGUUUGUCCUGAAGAGAGACUCAGAGAAGGCUAAAAGGCUAGCCCAGGCUUCCAUUUUGAGACAGCGAGAGUAUCCAGCAAUAUGACGGAGGUAACAAGUGACAAGUAGGAUUGUGUGGGGCUUUUUCUUUGAAGAUCUUCUGUAGUAAACCAGAAUGGAACUUGUCUAUUUACAACAUUUUUCCAUUUUUCUGGGCAGUCAAUAAAACAUAACAUUACCAACAUCAUUUUCUCUCACCUAAUCUAGGAGAUUUUUCUUUAUGUCGUUUUUUAAUACUUUAUUCAUUAUAAAAGUUUUUCCACCUUUUACAUUUUGCAGUUACUAAUAUUAAGAAACGAAAUGCCAAUUUGUUUGCAAGCCAUGUAAAAGGAACAUCUUAACAGGAUAGCAAAUGAUUAAACAUAUGGUGUGUUGUGUGGCAUAUAUUUGAUGGUUUUGUGACCAGAAAUGGUCUAAUAUCUAGUGUUUCAUCUUAUACCAUCAAAGUAAGGUCAUCUUUGUCCUAUUUCUUUAUUCCUCUUUGUGCUCAUAUAUAUUUAUUGAACAUUUGUGUGUAUUUAGCAGUGACAGGGAUGAAAAUAGUCUGAGUUUUAGGGAAGCAUUGUUUUUCAGGCUUCAAUAAUAAAACCGAUAUUUUCCAGGGCACAGAAUGCCUACCUGUGCCUAGGUGAUAAGGUCUCGAGCACAAUGAGCUCUUUUGUUCUGAGAAGCAGCCCAGGCUUAUUCUGCUACUUCUCCCUGUUUUACAAUCUUGCUAAGGUUGACCUUUAGCUAUCUUGUGGUGCUUUUUCAACAAAAAUAAAAUUCUUAACUGGUUUUUAUGACUGACUAUAAAACCUCCCUUUCAACUUCACCUGUUAAUAAAGUGAACUAGCUCUUCCUUCUCCUUUAUACUUGGAAAAAAUAGAAUAAAAACAACAAACAAAAUAGUUACUGGAAAUUUUAGACUAACAGAAAAAAAAAAGGUAUUGAGGUUAGUCUUACAAUGUGUAAGAUUCUCAAAUAGUCCUUAAAUAUAAUCCUUAAUUUAAUUUUUAAAAUGCUGUGUUUUCUUAAACCACUUCUCUCUCUUUCACAUCCCCUCUACCACCACCCUGGGGGUCUUUUGCAAUAGAGGACUUUCCCUGGUAGAAUGUUCACAGGAUUCACUUUUGAUAUGGGUUAUUUUUUGGAACAAUGGCAGAUUGAUUGAUGGGUAGUUGGGGUAAUCUUUACUAUUUCGUACUGCUAUCUUUAAAUACUCAGUAGAUAAUUGCUCUGAUUAAAUUUGUCUGUUAAACACAGUAGCUUUGGUAAACAUUGCAAGAGGAUACAGUAAGGAUACAGUAGUGCAAUCCCCUUUUAAUACUAAAAUAUUUUAUUUGAAUGUUUUUUUAAUCAAUAAAGAGCAAUUUAGUUCUCAGAGAUGCAUGGGCAAUUCCCAUUGAUUUGUAUGAAAUCCUUGGGUUCUUUUUAGAGUGAUGGAUGGUUUAGUGUGGUUGUUUAAAAAUAAAAUUGUAUUCUUGGGCUGGAGACUCCAUGCUGGAGAGAGAUGGUAUAUAAUGGAUGAAACUGGUCUCAUGGAAGUCCCUGAUGCUUAGUGAUAUUUAGGGGGCCAAAUAUCACUGAAUGGUUGGUUUCUGUUUUGAGACUGAAUAACUGUAUUAAUCUGUUUUGUGUUGCUAUAAAAAAAAACUGCUAUUGGCUAAAAUAUAAAGAAAAUAGGUUUAUUCAGCUCACAUUUCUGCAGGCAACCAUAUCUGCUCAGCUCCUGGUGAGGCCUCAGGAAGCUUUUACUCAUGGUGGAAGUUGAAAGGGGAGCAGGUCUGUCACAUGGUGAGAGAGGGAGCAAGAGAGACAGCGGGGAGUUCCCUGACUUUUUAACAAGCAGAUCUCAUGUGAACUCAUUACUGCCGGGAGAGCACCAAGUCAUUCAGUAAGUAUCCUCCCCUAUGACCCAAACACCUCUAGCUAGGCCUCACCUCCAACAUUGGGGAUCACGUUCCAACAUGAGAUUUGGAGGGGACUAACAUCCAAACUAUAUCUAUAAUGCUUCCCAGUGAUUCUCUAUCAUGUGCACUCCAGUGUUCCCAUACUGUACACAGUGUUACAUUUUAUUGCUGUGAAACUUUUAAUGAGUUAUUAUAUGUCGGGGCUUAGAAUGCUGUCUGGCACAGACUAAGUACUAUGUAAGGGUUAGAAAUAAUUGUUACUAGUUAUUCCAAGGCCAACUCCAGCCUUAACUCAUCAGCCAGGUGAGAUGGAAAUGGAAGCAUGGCUUAGGAAAGAAAGUGUAUCAGUUAACAUUAGCUGUCUAACACAGAAAUGUCAAUUGCAAUGGUUUAAAAAUAGCAACCAUGUAUUUAGCUUAUGGGUCUUUGGAUCAUCAAGUUGGACUGGGCUCAGGUUGGCAGUUUUUCUGCUUUUGGCUCUGCUUAGCAUAAACAUCUCUGGUCAGUAUAAGCAUAAACAUCUUUGGUCAGUGGCCAGGUCACCUGGUGUCUGACUAGUCUAGGAUGGGCUCAGCUGGGAUGGCUUGUCUUCGCUUCACAGGUUAGCUUGAGCAUGAUGUCAUGGUGAAGCCAGGGGAGCAAGUCACGAAGACAGGCUUAGAUUGGCCAAAGAAAACUCCAAGUCCAACCCAGAUUCACUGGGUGGGGAAAUAAACUCUACCUGUUGCAAAAUCACAGUGGAAAAUGAGUGGAUAGAAAAGAGCGAAGGAUUUUACAAUCUGCCACAUCAGAGGCUGCUGUGAGAGAUGAAGUGGAGAAGCAAUUAGAGGACUGGGAUGUGCGUUUGUGCAUUCAUCUGAAUGUACAAGUACAUGCCUUUUGGGGAUGAAGAAAGAAUACAAGGCUCCAGAGUCAUGAUUUCAGGUGACUUGGGAUAUGGUGGCACUAUGCAGAUAAAUAGGAAAUACAGUAGGAGAAGCAUUUACCUUUGAAUGUAUAGAAUUUAAAACAGAGAUGACGUGUUUAAGAGAAAGUGUCCAGUAAGGGGUCCGGAAAUCCACAGAGAAACCAGGCCUACAGAUAAGAUAUUUAGGAUGUCAACAGAUGUAAAUAGAUGCAAACAGCAACAACUACCUGUUGUUUUCCUAGCCACCAUGUGUUUAGAGAAUUAGCAUGGUUUACUUUUGAGUCUCCCCUUAGUGGACACACUCUUUCCAACUGUUAGUUCAUGUGAUUCGGAUGAGCCCAACCCUGGCCAUCUGCCAUUCAGGUCUGGCCAAUCAGCACAUUCCAGCCCUCUGGUCAUAGGGAUUGGUUUGGGAAUGGCAUUGGACCAAAUUGGUUCUAACAAAAUGAAAUCCUGGCACUUUUGUUGAAUCCGUUGGAACUUUCUUUUCCUUCUACAAGAGCUACUAAGCUGGAGGGCCAUAGAACUGCUGGAGGUCGUAUUAUCAGUAGAGUCUGCCUAGGAGGGAAGCCAACGAAACAAAAGUAGAGCAGAGAGAGAGAGAGAGAGAGAGAUGCAAUUUAGACCCCUGAAUCCAGCUGUACCUAAAGACAUGUCUCUUUACAAACUGUUCAAUUUUAGGAACCAAUACAUUUUCUUUUUUACUUGAACUGGUUUGAAUUGGGUUUCUGUCAUAUGUUACUAACAUGAAAAGAGAAAAGGAUAUAAACUUAGAAGACAAUUGCAUUUUGUGGGGCUGAAGGAAAAUUAGAGUAUGUAAUAAAAGCUUAUGGAACUAAGAAAUCCAAGAAGAAGGAGACUUAACAAAAAGGAAUAACAUGUUGACAUUGUCCCAUGUCAGGGAGCAAGGGCUCUGUAGAGAGUGUUGACUUGGGGGCCAGGACGCCUCUGAGGGAGUGCUCUUGGCAGCAGGGUGGAAGAAAGGAAGGUGCCCUGCCAGGAACUAAGGAAAGGGUGGGCGGUUUCCUUUGCCCAUAAAAGGGCCUCCUAGUCACUCAAACUUGAAACCUUGGAAUCAACUCUUCCUCCUCGCUCUGCCACAGCCCACACAUCUAAACAGUCUUCUUGUCCUGUAAACUCUCCCUCCACAAUUGCUGUUGGACUCCUACCUUCCUUCACAUUUCCACUGCCAAGGGCUGACUCCAGGUGUCUAAUGUUCCUGUCCUGGAACCUGGCCUCUUUGCAGCUCCUGUGCCCAUUGUCCCUCCACCUCUGUCAUCAAUUCUUUAUUCUGCUGCCAGAUUAUUUGUCCUAAGGCUCAGUUCUGAUUGUGAAAUAGCCACACACAGUGAAGAGUCCCUGGUUGGGGAACCCAGCACCAGCUCUGACAGGCUAUAGGAUCUUAGAAAAGAUUCUGAUCCUCUCUAGGUGUGGGAAUCUAAUCUUUGAAGGGAAGGGUUGAACCAGACUGUGACAUUUAUUGCCUCUCCAUCGC